rnacentral:lncRNA from 1 species
GAACAGGACAAAAGUGAGCUUCAAACAAAAGUCACUGCUCUGGAGAGGGAGGUCACUACGCUGAGGAGACAAGUGGCAAAAGCUAAGGCUUUGAGAGAUGAAAACGAAGAGGUGGUGAAUCCAGAGGAAAAGGAACACUGCCCAACAGACAAAGCUAAAUCUGAGAUGGCCACCACAGAUGUGAGAGCCCAGCACUGUGACUGCAAGACAACCACUACCAAGGUGAAAUUUAAAGCUGCCAAGAAAAAGUGCUCUGUGGGUCGCCACCACACUGUUCUCAAUCACUCCGUCAAGGUUAUGAGCCAUGUGGAGAACCUCAGCAAGGAUGGCUGGGAGGACAUGAGUGAAGGCAGUGAUUCUGAAACACAAACCUUUCAAAAUUUGGGAACAGUUAUUGU